rnacentral:rRNA from 1 species
UACGAAGGGGGCUAGCGUUGUUCGGAAUUACUGGGCGUAAAGCGCGCGCAGGCGGUCUUCCAAGUCAGUGGUGAAAGCCCGGAGCUCAACUCCGGAACUGCCAUUGAAACUGUGAGACUUGAGGAUGAGAGAGGUGAGUGGAAUUCCCAGUGUAGAGGUGAAAUUCGUAGAUAUUAGGAGGAACAUCAGUGGCGAAGGCGGCUCACUGGCUGAACACUGACGCUAAGGCGCGAAAGCGUGGGGAGCAAACAGG